rnacentral:rRNA from 1 species
GACGAACGCUGGCGGCGUGCUUAACACAUGCAAGUCGAACGGAAAGGCCUCUUUCGGGGGGUACUCGAGUGGCGAACGGGUGAGUAACACGUGAGUAACCUGCCCUUGACUUUGGGAUAACUUCAGGAAACUGGGGCUAAUACCGGAUAGGAGCUCCUGCUGCAUGGUGGGGGUUGGAAAGUUUCGGCGGUUGGGGAUGGACUCGCGGCUUAUCAGCUUGUUGGUGGGGUAGUGGCUUACCAAGGCUUUGACGGGUAGCCGGCCUGAGAGGGUGACCGGCCACAAUGGGACUGGGAUACGGCCCAGACUCCUACGGGGGGCAGCAGUGGGGAAUAUUGCAAAAUGGGUGGAAGCCUGAUGCAGCAACGCCGUGUGCGGGAUGACGGCCUUCGGGUUGUAAACCGCUUUCGCUCAUGACGAAGCUUUGUGUGACGGUAGUGGGUAAAGAAGCACCGGCUAACUACGUG